GCUUGUUGCCACCACGGGCGUCCUGGCUCUGUGCACUUUGCAACACCUGUGCCCAUGUUACCAGCAGGCUUGAAAGAGUAGCCAGAACUUGCCCAGUCACAGCACGGUUCCCCAGUUCCUACUUUUGCAGCGAUGCCUUGGAAGAUUGUCUUGAUGUGGGGCCUGUGGAAAGGAACCGUGUAGUUUAGCUACUGAAAAGACAGGGGUUGAGAUCUCAAGAUACUCAAGGACUAUCCCCCCACCCCCAAUUUUGUUCAAAUGGAGAGGUUGAAUGGGAGGUGGAAAAAAGUAACGAAUGUGCCAGAAGUGCCGAGGGAAACCUGUCAGAGGCUGCGGGCUCUGUGAUUAGAGCAGACAGACGGACAGACAGAAAGGCCAGAGGAUGCAUCAAAGCAUCAGGAGAAAUUUCUUCUGCACAAUCAAAAGAAGCUGUGGUUCCAAACAGCGGGCCACAGGGAUGUUCCUGUAGAGAGCCCUUCUCCCAGCCCGGGCCUCCCUUGUGCCAAAGUGGGGCACCUUCGAUACUCACCAGGCUUCUUUGUCCCCUCCUGGCAUAAGUGAGGGGCCAUAGCGGGCCCCUUCCUCUCCGCCACUGACUCCGCUCCCCACAAACAGGAUUCCCUUGGCCUUGAGGGU